GAUGAAGAACGUAGCGAAAUGCGAUAAGUAAUGCGAAUUGCAGAAUUUCCGUGAGUCAUCGAAUCUUUGAACGCACAUUGCGCCCACUGGUAUUCCGGUGGGCAUGCCUGUUCGAGCGUCAUUAUCCUCCCUCAAACCUCGGGUUUGGUGUUGGACCCAAGUUGUGUGAACAACUGGUCUCAAAGACAAUGACGGCGUCCGUGGGACCCUCGGUGCGACGAGCUUUUAAACGAGCACGCGUCGAGUUUCAAGGACCUUCCGGGCCGGUCUCCUUCUUUUAUUUACAAAGGUUGACCUCGGAUCAGGUAGGAAUACCCGCUGAACUUAAGCAUAUCAAUAAGCGGAGGA
rnacentral:misc_RNA from 1 species